AGAGAGAGACAUGCGCGCAUAUCAAUAAGCGGAGGAAAAGAAACUAACAAGGAUUCCCUUAGUAACGACGAGUGAAGCGGGAAGAGCUCAAAUUUGAAAUCUUCAAGGUUUUACCUUGACGAAUUGUAGUUUAAAGAAGUGUUUUCUGCUGAAGUUUUGGUAAAAGUUCUUUGGAAUAGGACAUCAUAGAGGGUGAGAAUCCCGUAUUUGACCAUUAUUUUCAGCUUUGUGAUACACUUUCAAAGAGUCGGAUUGUUUGGGAAUGCAGUCCAAAAUGGGUGGUAAAUUUCAUCUAAAGCUAAAUAUUGGCGAGAGACCGAUAGCGAACAAGUACCGUGAGGGAAAGAUGAAAAGAACUUUGAAAAGAGAGUUAAACAGUACGUGAAAUUGUCAAAAGGGAAGCGUUUGACACCAGUGUUGUUUUCCUCGAAAAUCAAUUAAAAAUGGCUCGAUUUUGUAUUGCUUGAGACCUUAAAAGCUCACUGUACAUUUUUCGUGUCUUUUUUAAUGCACUUUUCGUUUAACAAGUCAACAUCAGUUUCUUUUGUUGUAAAAGGGUCAUUGGAAGGUGGCUUUCUUUUCGGAGAAAGUGUUUAUAGCCUUUGGCCUCUGCAAUCGAAGAGACUGAGGUCUGCAGCGUAGACUCUUCGGGGUUAGAUACAUUUGUGCUAAGUUAUAGCUUUUUAUAGACAACUUGUUGACUAUAAUUAGUCUUGUAGCUUACUCGCUUAUGCUAUUUUACCUACGCUUAGGAUGUUGAAGAUGUAGCACAUCAU
rnacentral:rRNA from 1 species